GAUAGUCAAGACGAGAGAGCGGUGGUUCGCGGCGCGCCUAUCUAGGGUUUCUUGUGAUUCAGAGUCGGAUGGAGAUCUCGUUAAAACGACGAUCUCUCUGGCGUGAAGACAGAGCGGCCGUGAAGAGCUAUGGUGACGCGGAGGCUCUGCAGUAUCGGAGCUCCGGUGAAAAGUGGGUGUCGGUGGCUGGUUUCGGCGGUUGUGCGGUGAGGCGGAGAUCGAGUUGAGGCGGACGACGCGUGGCGUGCAGACUCUCCAGA
rnacentral:lncRNA from 1 species